AAGGGUUGCGAUGAGGAUAACAAGCUCCCUCUUCUGAAAUGAAGCUGAGGACGAUUGCUGGCAGAAUCGAACCUAAUAAUCAAACGCCACUACUGAGUAA